GGGGCAAAGUGACAGGUGGUGCAUGGUUGUCGUCAGCUCGUGUCGUGAGAUGUUGGGUUAAGUCCCGCAACGAGCGCAACCCUUAUUGUUAGUUGCCAUCAUUUAGUUGGGCACUCUAGCGAGACUGCCGGUGACAAACCGGAGGAAGGUGGGGAUGACGUCAAAUCAUCAUGCCCCUUAUGACCUGGGCUACACACGUGCUACAAUGGGAAGUACAACGAGUUGCGAAGUCGCGAGGCUAAGCUAAUCUCUUAAAGCUUCUCUCAGUUCGGAUUGUAGGCUGCAACUCGCCUACAUGAAGCCGGAAUCGCUAGUAAUCGCGGAUCAGCACGCCGCGGUGAAUACGUUCCCGGGCCUUGUACACACCGCCCGUCACACCACGAGAGUUUGUAACACCCGAAGUCGGUGAGGUAACCUUUUUGGAGCCAGCCGCCUAAGGUGGGAUAGAUGAUUGGGGUGAAGUCGUAACAAGGUAGCCGUAUCGGAAGGUGCGGCUGGAUCACCUCCUUUCUAAGGAA
rnacentral:rRNA from 1 species